AACGCGAAGAACCUUACCUACUCUUGGCAUCCAGAGAACUUUCCAGAGAUGGAUUGGUGCCUUCGGGAACUCUGAGACAGGUGCUGCAUGGCUGUCGUCAGCUCGUGUUGUGAAAUGUUGGAUUAAGUCCCGCAACGAGCGCAACCCUUAUCCUUUGUUGCCAGCGGUUCGGCCGGAAACUCAAAGGAAACUGCCAGUGAUAAACUGGAGGAAGGUGGGGAUGACGUCAAGUCAUCAUGGCCCUUACGAGUAGGGCUACACACGUGCUACAAUGGCGUAUACAAAGAGAAGCGACCUCGCGAGAGCAAGCGGACCUCAUAAAGUACGUCGUAGUCCGGAUUGGAGUCUGCAACUCGACUCCAUGAAGUCGGAAUCGCUAGUAAUCGUAGAUCAGAAUGCUACGGUGAAUACGUUCCCGGGCCUUGUACACACCG
rnacentral:rRNA from 1 species